CGUUUCGAAAGGAACGCUAAUACCGCAUACGUCCUACGGGAGAAAGCAGGGACCUUCGGGCCUUGCGCUAUCAGAUGAGCCUAGGUCGGAUUAGCUAGUUGGUGAGGUAAUGGCUCACCAAGGCGACGAUCCGUAACUGGUCUGAGAGGAUGAUCAGUCACACUGGAACUGAGACACGGUCCAGACUCCUACGGGAGGCAGCAGUG
rnacentral:rRNA from 1 species